UACGGGGGGAGCAAGCGUUGUUCGGAUUUACUGGGCGUAAAGGGCGCGUCGGCGGCCACCGCAAGUCGACUGUGAAAUCUCCGGGCUUAACCCGGAAAGGUCAGCCGAUACUGCGGGGCUAGAGUGCAGAAGGGGCAACUGGAAUUCUCGGUGUAGCGGUGAAAUGCGUAGAUAUCGAGAGGAACACCUGCGGCGAAGGCGGGUUGCUGGGCUGACACUGACGCUGAUGCGCGAAAGCUAGGGGAGCGAACGGG
rnacentral:rRNA from 1 species